UCGACAAUGGAUAUCUUGGCUCUYGCAUCGAUGAAGAGCGCAGCGAAAUGCGAUAYGUGGUGCGAAUUGCAGAAUCCCGUGAACCAUCGAGUAAUUGAACGCAAGUUGCGCCUGAGGCCAGUUGGCUAAGGGCACGUCCGCCUGGGCGUCAAG
rnacentral:rRNA from 1 species